AUUGAACGCUGGCGGCAGGCCUAACACAUGCAAGUCGAACGAGUGGCGGACGGGUGAGUAAUGUCUGGGAAACUGCCUGAUGGAGGGGGAUAACUACUGGAAACGGUAGCUAAUACCGCAUACCAUCGGAUGUGCCCAGAUGGGAUUAGCUAGUAGGUGGGGUAAAGGCUCACCUAGGCGGCGAUCCCUAGCUGGUCUGAGAGGAUGACCGGCCACACUGGAACUGAGACACGGCCCAGACUCCGACGGGAGGCAGCGGGGGGGAAUAUUGCACAAGGGGCGAAGGCCUGAUGCAGCCAUGCCGGUUGUUUGGAGCAGGCCUUCGGGUGGUAAAGUCCUUUCAGCGGGGAGGCGUUACCCGCAGAAGAAGCACCGGCUAACUCCGUGCCAGCAGCCGCGGUAAUAC
rnacentral:rRNA from 1 species